AUGAAAGUGCGUUAUAAAGUAUCCAUCGAGUGAAGUGCAACUCGCAUUUGAUGUACUGAAACUGUGCCAGCAAUAUGCACUGGCCGCUGCUCAUCGGAGUUAUGGCUGUGUUUCUCAGUUUGAUUGGAAAUGAAGUCUGGGUGUAUGCUGCAGCGCCGCCUACUCUCUUUCCAUGGGAGAAAGAGUCCUCAACAAAGCACAAGGCGCCAUAUAGGAUAUCUGGAGAUAUUUAAAGAUAUAUUUGUGGCGGGUUUCCUUUUGGUUUAUAUGAAUAAUUUAAUAUGUUUUGAGUUUGUUUUUUAAAUCAAAUAAACUUUGAGUAAGGCAACUAAAA